CUACGGGCCGCUGCAGUGGGGAAUAUUGCACAAUGGAGGAAACUCUGAUGCAGCAACGCCGCGUGGAGGAUGACACUUUUCGGAGCGUAAACUCCUUUUAUAUAGGAAGAAGAUGACGGUACUAUAUGAAUAAGCGCCGGCUAACUCCGUGCCAGCAGCCGCGGUAUUACGGAGGGCGCAAGCGUUACUCGGAAUCACUGGGCGUAAAGAGCGUGUAGGCGGAUUAAAAAGUCAGAGGUGAAAUCCUAUAGCUUAACUAUAGAACUGCUUCUGAAACUCUUAAUCUAGAAUAUGGGAGAGGUAGAUGGAAUUUCUGGUGUAGGGGUAAAAUCCGUAGAGAUCAGAAGGAAUACCGAUUGCGAAGGCGAUCUACUAGAACAUUAUUGACGCUGAGACGCGAAAGCGUGGGGAGCAAACAGGAUUAGAUACCCGAGUAGUC
rnacentral:rRNA from 1 species